UAUGUAAGCGCACGCCACGCAUUAAAAGGAGGCAGAGCCUCUUUUCUCUAGGCUAUUACGGAAAAACGGUGGCUUUCUCUCAAUUUCUCCUUGGUUCUUCGUAUAAAAAAAAAAUGCUGAUCUACGAAAAUCUAGCCAUUCGAUUUUAGAUCCGACUUCGGUAACGUGAUCCUCAAAGCUCGAUCUACGUUUUGACCGAACGUUUUGAGAUUUUCUGUGGUUUGGAGUUGGUAGGAGCUUCCCGAACAUUUGGUCUUUGCUUGACAAAUUUUUGUAAUGCAUUGCAGGGUGGUGUCUAGGAGACCUAGUGCUUAAUAUCCGCGCAGCCAAGACAUUGAUGCUUUGGUUGCAGGUUCUGCGGAUAUAGAUAAUGACUCGUCCACCUAGCGUAUGGGAUAUUAUGAUUGGAGCACAUCGCGACAGUCAUAUGUCACAGACUCAUGGGUAGUCUGCAUUUGGGUAUUUUAUUUAUGGCUCGUGUCAUACGUGACAUAUGUAUUUGUUGAGCUCGUAUUUUAGUAUGUAAUUAGUGUAAUAUGUUUUAUAAGCUUUAAUCAGUUAGACAUGUAAAUGGCUCUUAUCGUCGAUAACAGUUAUAUAUUAGAUGUAUUUCCGCUA